rnacentral:tRNA from 1 species
GUCGUCGUAGCUCAGUUGGAUAGAGCACCCGCCUUCUAAGCGGACGGUCAAGAGUUCGAGUCUCUUCGACGACG